GACGAACGCUGGCGGCGUGCUUAACACAUGCAAGUCGAACGGAAAGGCCCUGCUUUUGUGGGGUGCUCGAGUGGCGAACGGGUGAGUAACACGUGAGUAACCUGCCCUUGACUUUGGGAUAACUUCAGGAAACUGGGGCUAAUACCGGAUAGGAGCUCCUGCUGCAUGGUGGGGGUUGGAAAGUUUCGGCGGUUGGGGAUGGACUCGCGACUUAUCAGCUUGUUGGUGGGGCAGUGGCUUACCAAGGCUUUGACGGGUAGCCGGCCUGAGAGGGUGACCGGCCACAUUGGGACUGAGAUACGGCCCAGACUACUACGGGAGGCAGCAGUGGGGAAUAUUGCACAAUGGGCGGAAGCCUAAUGCAGCAACGCCGCGUGCGGGAUGACGGCCUUCGGGUUGUAAACCGCUUUCGCCUGUGACGAAGCGUGAGUGACGGUAAUGGGUAAAGAAGCACCGGCUAACUACGUG
rnacentral:rRNA from 1 species